AGUCUUAACCGGGCGUUAAGUUGCAGGGUAUAGACCCGAAACCCGGUGAUCUAGCCAUGGGCAGGUUGAAGGUUGGGUAACACUAACUGGAGGACCGAACCGACUAAUGUUGAAAAAUUAGCGGAUGACCUGUGGCUGGGGGUGAAAGGCCAAUCAAACCGGGAGAUAGCUGGUUCUCCCCGAAAGCUAUUUAGGUAGCGCCUCGUGAAUUCAUCUCCGGGGGUAGAGCACUGUUUCGGCUAGGGGGCCAUCCCGGCUUACCAACCCGAUGCAAACUGCGAAUACCGGAGAAUGUUAUCACGGGAGACACACGGCGGGUGCUAACGUCCGUCGUGAAGAGGGAAACAACCCAGACCGCCAGCUAAGGUCCCAAAGUCAUGGUUAAGUGGGAAACGAUGUGGGAAGGCCCAGACAGCCAGGAUGUUGGCUUAGAAGCAGCCAUCAUUUAAAGAAAGCGUAAUAGCUCACUGGUCGAGUCGGCCUGCGCGGAAGAUGUAACGGGGCUAAACCAUGCACCGAAGCUGCGGCAGCGACACUGUGUGUUGUUGGGUA
rnacentral:rRNA from 1 species